UAGGGAAUCUUCCGCAAUGGGCGAAAGCCUGACGGAGCAACGCCGCGUGAGUGAUGAAGGUCUUCGGAUCGUAAAACUCUGUUAUUAGGGAAGAACAAAUGUGUAAGUAACUAUGCACGUCUUGACGGUACCUAAUCAGAAAGCCACGGCUAACUACGUGCCAGCAGCCGCGGUAAUACGUAGGUGGCAAGCGUUAUCCGGAAUUAUAGGGCGUAAAGCGCGCGUAGGCGGUUUUUUAAGUCUGAUGUGAAAGCCCACGGCUCAACCGUGGAGGGUCAUUGGAAACUGGAAAACUUGAGUGCAGAAGAGGAAAGUGGAAUUCCAUGUGUAGCGGUGAAAUGCGCAGAGAUAUGGAGGAACACCAGUGGCGAAGGCGACUUUCUGGUCUGUAACUGACGCUGAUGUGCGAAAGCGUGGGGAUCAAACAGG
rnacentral:rRNA from 1 species